GGGCUGCACGAUUAGAUAUUUUAUGCAGCUAUUGUUACAGUUGUAUCUCCCGCCAAUAUCCCCAUCCCUAAUUAUGUGUUGGUCUCUGCCAAACGGCGGGUCAAUUAGCCAGACGCCUUUGUCUACCUGUUGUAUGGGACAGUAGAGGGUAAACCGUCUGAGCGACAGGACCAUAGGAGGGCGCUUUGCUUAUUGCUUAUUGCUGGCUCCCCCUCGCGGACUAUUUUCCAUUCCCUUUUCGCGUGUCUCCUUUUUUUUCCGCUUCACUGUGCGAAUCCCAAGUGAAGGGCCAACUAUUACGUUUGACUUAUUUUUGCCUUUUAGAGAGUAAACUCAAGAGUACUGAGUUAAGAUCGUAACACUAUAUGGUAAGUACAGACAAAAAAAGAGGAAAACUAUGAGAUACUUGGUCGAUGUUGAAUGGCUCCUGAAGCGCCAUUGUUCUCAACGUUCCAUUUUCUUGGCCAUUUCGGGGCUGGCAGUGAUAGUUCUGUGUAUGUGCGUAGUACUACCUACGGUUGAUUUGCAUCAGUUUAGAGGGAAAAGUUUUCAUGAUGGCUAUACGGGCCCAUUCAAAUCAGUUUGCAGUCGCCAUGCUGAUCGGAGAGGUGCUCAUCAAAAAGUCAUUGGCUAUUCACUCUACGACAACCUCUCAUCACCCAUUUUUGCCAGAAAAUAUUUAAGACACUUUAACGCGACACUGCAUACCGUUCCUUUGGCCUAUCCAGGCUGGGUGGUGAGAAUUUAUCACAAUUUAACGAUGGACGAUGAUGAAGGAUGGAAAGUCCUUGAGAACACCAUAGAUUUCGGAGACCACAUUGAUUUGUGCAAUGCAACUGAGCUGAUCAAGAAACUCAAUUUGACCGACUUGUUUGCCAUGACCUGGCGCUGGCUGCCGUUACUGGAUGAGAUGGUGGACAUGUCAAUGUCCCGUGACUCGGACUCUGCCAUAAUAGCUCGUGAAGAGGACGCCGUUCGUGAAUGGCUGGCAAGCGACCGCACCUAUCACAUCAUGAGAGACCACCCUCAACACUGCGUCACCUUCCUUGGAGGUUGCUGGGGAGUGAAAAUAAGCCAGGAUCGUUCGACAAUUGUCGACGCAGCGCAGAGAAUGUUCCACGAAAAUCAUCGGCAUACGUACGGCUAUGACCAACAAUUACUAGAUAGGCUCUUUUGGCCGAUAGCUCAAAGUAGCAUGAUAGCUCACGACAGCUAUUGCUGUGAAAGAUUCCCGAAUAGUAAGCCAUAUCCGUCGCAGAGGAAAGAUGGCCUAUUCGUCGGCAGACCAAUUUAUUCAAAGGCCAUAUUGAAAUCUCCGUGUCCACAAAAAUGUCGCCCAGCAAAUACGACGUCCGAAUGGACCUAUUGCUGAAAGGACACAUCAACAAUAGAGUGGACGUCCACUGCAAAUCUAUCCCACAAAAAUCACAAACCUAAGGACCUAUAAUGAAAGCCUUUCCCGUUCAAUAUGCAAUAGUUAACCUAUACUGUGUAAGCAAGCCAUACAAAUUUCGGGCACAGGUCA
rnacentral:misc_RNA from 1 species